rnacentral:rRNA from 1 species
GACGAACGCUGGCGGCGUGCCUAAUACAUGCAAGUUGAGCGAUGAAGAUUGGUGCUUGCACCAAUUUGAAGAGCAGCGAACGGGUGAGUAACGCGUGGGGAAUCUGCCUUUGAGCGGGGGACAACAUGUGGAAACGAAUGCUAAUACCGCAUAACAACUUUAAACAUAAGUUUUAAGUUUGAAAGAUGCAAUUGCAUCACUCAAAGAUGAUCCCGCGUUGUAUUAGCUAGUUGGUGAGGUAAAGGCUCACCAAGGCGAGGAUACAUAGCCGACCUGAGAGGGUGAUCGGCCACAUUGGGACUGAGACACGGCCCAAACUCCUACGGGAGGCAGCAGUAGGGAAUCUUCGGCAAUGGACGAAAGUCUGACCGAGCAACGCCGCGUGAGUGAAGAAGGUUGUCGGAUCGUAAAACUCUGUUGGUAGGGAAGAACGUUGGUGAGAGUGGAAAGCUCAUCAAGUGACGGUAACUACCCAGAAAGGGACGGCUAACUACGUG